AUCACGGUAUAUCAAUGAUCACCUUUUUCAGAAUCUCAAGAGGUUUGCAGCAGAACAAAAUUGUAUGUCUGUAGAUGUAAUACGGAAAGCAUUUCAAGCUACAGAAGACGGAUUCUGCUCUGUGGUUGCAAAGCAAUGGCCAAUGAAGCCACAGAUGGCUGCUGUGGGAUCUUGCUGUCUGGUAGCGGUGAUCUGCAAUGGUAUCCUGUAUGUUGCUAACCUUGGUGAUUCCCGAGCUGUUUUGGGAAGGCUUGUGAGGGCUACAGGGGAGGUUCUUGCCAUCCAGCUAUCAGCUGAGCAUAACGCAUGUUUCGAAUCUGUCAGACAGGAGUUGCAUUCAAUGCAUCCAGAUGACCCACAGAUAGUGGUUUUGAAGCAUAACGUAUGGCGUGUAAAGGGUCUGAUUCAGAUUUCAAGAUCUAUUGGUGAUAUAUACCUUAAAAAGCCUGAAUACAACAGGGAGCCGUUGUAUGCAAAGUUUCGAUUGCGUGAACCUUUUAAAAGGCCCAUAUUGAGCUCUGAUCCAUCAAUUACUGUUCAAGAACUCGAACCACAUGAUCAAUUUCUCAUAUUAGCUUCUGAUGGUCUCUGGGAACAUCUUUCCAAUCAAGAAGCAGUUGAUAUAGU
rnacentral:misc_RNA from 1 species